AAGACCUUGCGCUUUUGGAGCGGCCGAUGCCUGAUUAGCUUGUUGGUAAGGUAAAGGCUUACCAAGGCUUCGAUCAGUAGCUGGUCUGAGAGGACGGCCAGCCACACUGGGACUGAGACACGGCCCAGACUCCUACGGGAGGCAGCAGUGGGGAAUUUUGGACAAUGGGGGAAACCCUGAUCCAGCCAUGCCGCGUGAGUGAAGAAGGCCUUCGGGUUGUAAAGCUCUUUCAGCCGGAACGAAACGGUUACGGAUAAUACCCGUGACUACUGACGGUACCGGAAGAAGAAGCACCGGCUAACUACGUGCCAGCAGCCGCGGUAAUACGUAGGGUGCGAGCGCUAAUCGGAAUUACUGGGCGUAAAGCGUGCGCAGGUGGUUUUGUAAGUCAGAUGUGAAAGCCCCGGGCUCAACCUGGGAACU
rnacentral:rRNA from 1 species